rnacentral:rRNA from 1 species
UACUCCUACGGGAGGCAGCAGUAGGGAAUAUUGGGCAAUGGGGGCAACCCUGAUGCAGCAAUGCCGCGUGUGUGAGGAAGGCCUUCGGGUCGUAAAGCUCUGUUCCUUGGGGAGGAUGAGUGAUUAGGGAUCUAUAAGUCCCUGAUUGGACGUUACCUACAGAGAAAGGACCGGCUAACUUCGUGCCAGCAGCCGCGGUAAUAC